AUUGAACGCUGGCGGCAGGCCUAACACAUGCAAGUCGAACGAGUGGCGGACGGGUGAGUAAUGUCUGGGAAACUGCCUGAUGGAGGGGGAUAACUACUGGAAACGGUAGCUAAUACCGCAUACCAUCGGAUGUGCCCAGAUGGGAUUAGCUAGUAGGUGGGGUAAAGGCUCACCUAGGCGACGAUCCCUAGCUGGUCUGAGAGGAUGACCAGGCAAACUGGAACUGAGAAACGGGCCAGACUCCUACGGGAGGUAACAAUGGGGAAUAUUGCAGAAUGGGCGCAAGACUGAUGCGGCCAUGCCGCGGGUAUGAAGAAGGCCUUUGGGUUGGAAAGUACUUUCAGCGGGGGGGCGUUACCCGCAGAAGAAGCACCGGCUAACUCCGUGCCAGCAGCCGCGGUAAUUC
rnacentral:rRNA from 1 species